rnacentral:rRNA from 1 species
CCUACGGGAGGCAGCAGUGGGGAAUUUUGGACAAUGGGCGCAAGCCUGAUCCAGCAAUGCCGCGUGAGUGAAGAAGGCCUUCGGGUUGUAAAGCUCUUUUGUCAGGGAAGAAACGGUGGGGGCUAAUAUCCCUCGCUAAUGACGGUACCUGAAGAAUAAGCACCGGCUAACUACGUGCCAGCAGCCGCGGUAAUACGUAGGGUGCAAGCGUUAAUCGGAAUUACUGGGCGUAAAGCGUGCGCAGGCGGUUUUGUAAGUCUGUCGUGAAAGCCCCGGGCUCAACCUGGGAAUUGCGAUGGAGACUGCAAGGCUUGAAUCUGGCAGAGGGGGGUAGAAUUCCACGUGUAGCAGUGAAAUGCGUAGAGAUGUGGAGGAACACCGAUGGCGAAGGCAGCCCCCUGGGUCAAGAUUGACGCUCAUGCACGAAAGCGUGGGGAGCAAACAGGAUUAGAUACCCUGGUAGUCCACGCCCUAAACGAUGUCUACUAGUUGUCGGGUUUUAAUUAACUUGGUAACGCAGCUAACGCGUGAAGUAGACCGCCUGGGGAUACGGUCGCAAGAUUAAAACUCAAAGGAAUUGACGGCUGAGACNGCGAGACGACGACGAGGAGGAGG